AGCCUAACGGCUGAACCAGCAACUUGGAGGAAAGUAUAGCUAAAGCUAAAUGUAUUAUGUAAUAAUACAGAUUCGAUUAAUUCGUAUAAAGUUCUAGAUAGACUUAUGAUAAUGACAUUGUCUAUCUAUAAGUCUUGACCAAAUUACGUGCCAGCAGUCGCGGUAAGACGUAAAAGACUAGUGUUAUUCAUCUUUAAUAGGUUUAAAGCGUACCUAGACGGUAAAUAAAGCCUUAAAUGGGACUAAUUUAACUAGAGUUAGAUGUAAGGGUGCACAAACGUACUGUUGAGUUUAG
rnacentral:rRNA from 1 species